CACCUUGCUGGUCGGGGCCAUGGUUUAACGACGGCGGCAAGGGAAGAGGCUCCUACCGUGGGAUAGACCUGAAACAGGAGCGUGGGUGGCGAGGCUUAGAACCCAAGGUCGGAAAGUCUGGCGAGU
rnacentral:sRNA from 12 species